GCAUUGCACAAGGACUGCCUCACAUGGUCACCUUUUGUGUCCAACUCUGCUCUGAGGUCAGGCAGACCAGAUGACGGCUCCCUACAUCAGUGCUGGCACACAGUUAGGAUCAGUCUGCUUUAGUGGUGUGCUCUUUGUGUUAUAUUAGAGCACACCAUAAUUUUGCAGUAACCACUGUUAAGGAGCACCAUGCUAUUUACCUCUAUGGGCAGCAAUGCGGAGGCCCGGCACAUUGUGGCAUUUGGAAAAAGUGGAUAUUCAUGAAGUCUUUGAGAAGAACCACAAAUCCGUGCUUCAUGAAGAAUCUCUUAUGGUGUUUCUCUCAUGUUAUGAGACAGACAAGGACAAAGCCAGACCACUGGUUGUUUUGAAGCCACAUGUUUGUACUGUGACAGGCUGUACAACACGUGGUCACCCUCAUACCACAUUUUGAUGCUGACACCAGCAAGAUGUCAAAGCAAUCAAGGGCAGUGGAACCGACUGAUAACAGCAGAAUAUCAUCUCUAUACCAGAAUGUCUCUGCUUCAUUGUGUAUGGCAGGAGGAAAAGAAUCAGCACCAAUACCUCACUGGUCACCCUGAUGGGGGAGCCUCAUUUGAAAAUAAGCAGGCACUGAGAGGAUCAACAGAAAGGAGUGCCCAGCUCUGGCUGCUGUGGAGAUGAGGGGAGAGAUAAACAUCAUGCAGUUGCUUCAUAAAAAUAAGCUGGAUUCUUCAGAAAAGGAGUGGCCAACCACAGUAAACACAUUUACAUCGUGGUCUCCAGAGAAGUCCUCCUCAGAGUUCAGAGACUUCUGCAGUACUUUCAUUCCUUGCUGCUACUUGCUGAAUAUGAAAUCAUAAGGUGUUACUGUGUUUAAGGUUGUCAUGCAGAAAAGGAACUUCCCUGAAUCUGACACAUGAUGACAGUCACUCUUACAAACUUUGCAAAUUCCUGCAUGAAGAAUAAAGAUUGAGCAUGUGUACACAUGCUGUUUCUGCCAGGAGUCACCGAUGAGCUUCAUUGUGAAUCAUAACUGCUGACUCACUGUCAGGACCAUAAAUACUGUGGGUCAGCCACACAAUCUGGAAAUGGGAUAGAAGAAUAUCUCUUUGCAACAGGGGACUUGUAGAUUGCUGUCAGCAUCUUUCUGAAGUGGCUGAGCUUCUCAGCUUCUCUCUCACGUUACUGACUCAUGUCUGACAUGCUCAUCUUUGUUGCUAAGGGUUUACCACUGCAGGGAUGAGAUGGAUGAUGUCCUUCUAGCCCUUGCUUGCCCGCAGUGGCAGCCCAAGGGAUCACAGCUGUGCAAAGGUGCCAGGGUCCCCUGAGGACACACAGAAUUCAAUGGCCCUAUCAUUACAGACCUCAGCAUUAAGGAAGAGGCUGUAAGUAACUGCCCAUCUUCUGAGAGAGGCAAUCACAGUCUCUAUGACCUGUUUUCACCAUCAAUGAAAUGGCUGAAAAUAAAAGGGCUACCAUCUCUCUUUUCCUUAAGCUGAGAAUUAACUGAGACAAGGUGCUUUGGGUUCUCUGAGCUGCACUUUUAUACCACUAGGAUCUGGAUGCUCCAAGACUUGGGGAGCACAACUGUGAGAACGACUGUCCCAGAUCCAUAAUAUAUUGGACACUGAAUUUCAAUACUGAAAUUACAGGAGAUAACUUCGUCAAGAUGUUUUCCUUUCUUUGUCACAUCCCUGAAGUAAUCAAAUCCUUGGGAACACUGAUCUCAUACACUUGCUGCAGCUGAGUUGGUGCUGACAUUUUUCUGUUUCUGAGUCCUGGUCAGGAACCAGGCAGUUCUUAUGAAAGACUAUAAAAGCAUGGAGAGAAGUACUCUGUA